GUUUAAUUUCCAAAUUUGUUUAAAUUUAAAUUUAAAUGUCUGUUACAACAGUCAUUACAACAUUAAAGAAUAUUCAAAUUGAACAUUUGGUGUGGCGCCAGCCGUCACUCAGCGCCUAUGAGGAUCAACUGUGCAAAGCAAUAGAAACCAUUUUGGAACUUUUGGAAAAAGUUGUUUUCCAAAGUUUGCGGCAGAAAUUUUGUUGUCACUUUCUUGGUUCUUGGCGCCAGAAAUCAGCUGAUAGUGUUACCAUCCAUCCAUCGGUGAUUUUCACAGCGCUGCCAGACUGGUGGAUAAAGACGGAGUUGUUAAACAGGUCGGCAUGACCAAUGGAGAAGCUAAAUAAAGCUGUGCAACGACAAUGUCCUGAUUAUCUGCGUUCCGUGCCGAGGGCGCGCAUCUUGUGGAAGGGGGGGUGGAGCAGCCGUGUUCCCUGGUCCUGGUCGAGCUCCAUGCGUCGCACUCCGACGCACAUCCGACCAGGAAACGAUACGCCUCUACUGGAUAGCAACAAGCGUCAGAUACUAAUUGGCAGCAAGACUAUAUGUACUGGAGCACCGAGAGCGUCUUGGCCAACUCUGGACAGUGGACAGCCCUUCGACAUUGCCAUAGCAUAGCCAUUGACCUAGACAACGGGGAGGGUGUGGAAACAGCGGCUCCAGUGUCGUGGAAUAAUGCCACGAAGAAGUCCUUCUUCGUAUAUCAGCCUCCUGGCGCUGUGACGGCGAAAAGAACUGCCCGGCGGAUGAAAAAAUUAAAUGUACUAAUUAUUAAGACGCUUCUAAUGUAAUCUAAGAACAUACAUAUGUAGAUGUUUUAUAGAAA
rnacentral:sRNA from 1 species